rnacentral:rRNA from 1 species
UACGUAGGGUCCGAGCGUUGUCCGGAAUUACUGGGCGUAAAGAGCUCGUAGGUGGUUUGUCGCGUUGUUCGUGAAAACUCACAGCUCAACUGUGGGCGUGCGGGCGAUACGGGCAGACUAGAGUACUGCAGGGGAGACCGGAAUUCCUGGUGUAGCGGUGGAAUGCGCAGAUAUCAGGAGGAACACCGGUGGCGAAGGCGGGUCUCUGGGCAGUAACUGACGCUGAGGAGCGAAAGCGUGGGGAGCGAACAGG